rnacentral:rRNA from 1 species
UCCAAACAAUAAAGGUUGACCUCGGAUCAGGUAGGGAUACCCGCUGAACUUAAGCAUAUCAAUAAGCGGAGGAAAAGAAACCAACAGGGAUUGCCUUAGUAACGGCGAGUGAAGCGGCAAAAGCUCAAAUUUGAAAUCUGACACUUCUGGUGUUCGAGUUGUACUUUAGAGAGUCAUCUUCUGGAGGGGGCCCAGCCUAUGUGCCUUGGAACAGGACAUCAUAGAGGGUGAGAAUCCCGUCCUUGGUCUGGAUGUUCCCUCCUGUAUGUAGUGUCUUCUACGAGUCGAGUUGUUUGGGAAUGCAGCUCAAAAUGGGUGGUAAAUUUCAUCUAAAGCUAAAUAUUGGCGAGAGACCGAUAGCGCACAAGUAGAGUGAUCGAAAGAUGAAAAGCACUUUGAAAAUAGAGUCAAACAGUACGUGAAAUUGUUGAAAGGGAAGCGCUUGAGACCAGAGUCAGCCUUUGGCAAACAACUGUCCUUCUGGGCGGUGCACUUGUUAUUGGUUGGGCCAGCAUCGGUUGGGACGGCAGGAUAAAGGCCCAGGGAAUGUGACUCCACUAUGGAGUGUUAUAGCCCCAGGUGGCAUGCUGUCAGCCCCGACCGUGGACCGCGC